GACGAACGCUGGCGGCGUGCUUAACACAUGCAAGUCGAACGGAAAGGCCUGCUUUCCCUUGUGGAUUGCGGGUACUCGAGUGGCGAACGGGUGAGUAACACGUGAGUGAUCUGCCCCCAACUUGGGUAUAAGCCUGGGAAACUGGGUCUAAUUCCCGAUAGGACUGCAGGGUGGUGCCUGUGGUGGAAAACGAUUUUCUAGUGGUUGGGGAUGAGCUCGCGGCCUAUCAGCUUGUUGGGGGGGUAAUGGCCUACCAAGGCGGCGACGGGUAGCCGGCCUGAGAGGGUGGACGGCCACAUUGGGACUGAGAUACGGCCCAUACUCCUACGGGAGGCAGCAGUGGGGAAGAUUGCACAAUGGGCGGAAGCCUGAUGCGGCGACGCCGCGUGGGGGAUGACGGCCUUCGGGUUGUAAACUCCUUUCGACCGCGAGGAAGCCACCUGGUUGGAAGGGUGGUGACGGUAGUGGUAGAAGAAGCACCGGCUAACUACGUG
rnacentral:rRNA from 1 species